UCCACGGAAGCUCAGCAGAUACUCUCUACAGGCAUAGGCAUAUGGAACACAAAUCACAGAAGUUUGAUGCAUAAUUUCACUACUUUAGGAGCAUAUCCAUGGCAAUUGUUAAGACACUUGCAAGUAAGUAAUUAGUUCUAGACUUUGGUUUUCAUAAUUGUAAAAUUGGCCUGUAAUAAUUCUAUGGGCUUACUUUGCUUGGUCAGGUGGAACAUCCCGCAACCAUUCAAGAUCAACACUCCCAUGUUCUCUAAGUAGUCGGUUAAGGAAUUCCUGCACAAAUAUCUCAAUCAUGUUGGUGUGUACAGGUAAAUGAAUUUGUUAAUUAUAAUUUUACAUUAUAGUUAUAGGUACCUUGAUUCUUUCUGCAAGCAUAUUAUUCAUCCCCCUUUCUUUGAUAGUUUGGGCAAUGUCAUUCACAUUUGCAGUUCUUACAGCUUCCCAGUCCACGGAAUCCAUUGUGUUUGCUGUUUUUUCCCUUUUUCUUCCGUUUGGUUCUGCUCGUUCUCUUAAUUUGUCCCAGUCCUGCUGAGCCUUUUUGUCUUUUCCAGGUCUUCUGUUCUUUGUCUUUGAGGUAGCAGCAUCCUUUUUACUGACUUCGUUGAAGCUUAAAUCUGACUCAGGUCCCUUAUGCAUAAUAUCUGCGGUCUCUCCAGAAAUGUUGCAACUUUGCUGAAUCUUAUUUGUGUGCUUCUCAGUAGGUACGUAAACCUUAUUUGGGUUCCCACCAACCCUGAAUUGAGACAGAACCACAUUACUUUUUCCUUGAAUGCAAGUGCAUGAUUCACUGAAACAUCUCUGUGCAUCUUGAUCAUUGACAGUAAGCUUAAUACUUGUUGUAUCUUGACUCACAGAUUCUGCUGUUAGUACACUCUGUUCCCCCAGACUGUCUUCGUAAUUGUUCUUGAAAAUAUUAGAAGAAUGGAUUACCUCUUCAAUCAAUUCAGAGCACUCAACUUGCACUACUUCUGGGUUGGAGGUAUUAUGUACACAGCAAUUAUUG
rnacentral:lncRNA from 1 species